UUGAGAAUGGGUCUCAUCUAGUGAUGCACCGAUGUGAAAAUUGUGGCCGAUACCGAUAACCGAUAUUAAUUUUGCUGUUAUGGCCGAUACCGAUAUUUACC